AUUAAACUUCCCUAUUGAUUCUGCUUAUCAGGUUGCAAAAGGUGAUCACAUGAUCUUGGGACACAUUCACUGUCAUAAGUAUGAACCAGUUGCCAAGCAUCUGAAUUUUGAUCCCGGUGGGAGCCAUGUUACCAAGGUCGCAAGUGCAAAACAAGUCACUUCUUUCAGUGCCAGGUUGUAACUUUGAACUGUCACUGAAGGAUCUGCCCGUAUGUUCAGGCAGGGCCACGAUGCUGGCAGCCUCUUGUGCCAACCCGGAGAGAGCCAGCCGCUCUCUUCUUUGCUGAAGGCCCAGCUGCAGAGCGGGGACAGCGGCUGCCCUCUUUCCGUUUCUUCGCAGAAGCCUCAUCAGGGGGAAACGGCCCGUCGCUUCCGAAAAGCGCUUUAGCACCAGCCACCCUGCACACGACGGCGGCAGCGAAGCGUAAAGGGCAAGAAAGGAGGCGAGGCGCGAAGAGACGACAGGGAGGCGACCCCACAGCUUCACUUCGCUCCCAGCUCCACUCCGGUCCCUGUCAUGGGUGUGAGGGGAGACGUACUUUCUCCGCAGGAACGCUGGUUGGGCAACACGCAUAGCCUGAGAGGCGUGGUUUGGCCUGCGCUGCGAUGGCGGGGCGGAGCGCUAAAAACAACCCCGCAGUCACUGCGGGCGGCGUUUCUCCUUCUCUGCCUUCGCCGUCUCCUCGCUUCCCGAGAUAAGAUGUGGCUGUUAAUAAUUGCAGUAAGCUUAUUCCAAGGCCUGGUAAAUUCAGCAAUGCUUGACAGAAGAAAAAGAGGUGGACCCAGAAACAUCCAUGAACAUUGACAAGAAAACCAAGAAAAUAAAUAAUUGAAUUAAAUCUAAUGGACAGAUUCCUGAAAUAAAGGACUGAGGUUUUUUAUAAUAAAGGACACAUGGUCCGUGUACAUGUGCAAUGCGGUUAGAGUGCACACAGAAAGUUUAAGAUGGUGAGCAUGAUAAUGUGGUUGAAGGUCCCACUCAAUAUGCAGUGCAUUAAAAAACAGUCUG
rnacentral:lncRNA from 1 species